rnacentral:rRNA from 1 species
AUAACGACUCUCAGCAACGGAUAUCUCGGCUCUCGCAUCGAUGAAGAACGUAKCGAAAUGCGAUACUUGGUGUGAAUUGCAGAAUCCCGUGAACCAUCGAAUCUUUGAACGCAA